rnacentral:rRNA from 1 species
GAUGAACGCUGGCGGCGUGCCUAAUACAUGCAAGUCGAACGAACAGACGAGGAGCUUGCUCCUCUGACGUUAGCGGAGGACGGGUGAGUAACACGUGGAUAACCUCCCUAUAAGGCUGGUAUAACUUCGGGAAACCGGAGCUAAUACGGGAUAAUAUAUUGAACCGCGUGGUGCAAUAGUGAAAUACGGUUUUGCUGUCACUUAUAGCUGGAUACGCGCGGCAUUAGCUAGUUGGUAAGGUAACGGCUUACCAAGGCAACGAUGCGUAGACGACCUGAGAGAGUGAUAGGCCACACGGGAGGUGAGACGCCGACCAGACGACUACGGGAGGCAGCAGUAGGGAAUCGGCCGCAGAGGGCGAAAGCUUGACGGAACAACGCCGCGUGAGUGAUGAAGGUGCUCGGAUCGUAAAACUCUGUUAUGAGGGAAGAACAAAUGUGUAAGUAACUAUGCACGUCUUGACGGUACCUAAUCAGAAAGCAACGGCUAACUACGUG